AUUUCCUUAGUAUAGUUAAUACGAGUAACCUCCAAUUAUUUAACCUUGGUGAAACCCCAAGAGGAGAUA
rnacentral:tRNA from 1 species